rnacentral:rRNA from 1 species
CGCACGGGUGAGUAACGCGUAGGUAAUCUACCCUAAUAUUUGGGAUAACAUUGGGAAACUGGUGCUAACACCGAAUACCCUUCUUUUCUGUCGGGUUGAGGAGGAAAGGUGGCCUCUUCAUGAAAGCUACCGUAUAAGGAUGAGCCUGCGUACCAUUAGCUAGUAGGUGGGGUAAAGGCCCACCUAGGCUACGAUGGUUAGCGGGUCUGAGAGGAUGAUCCGCCACACUGGAACUGGAACACGGACCAG